UGGCUUCCUUCCUCUCUCCCUAUCUGCCUUUCUUCCAACUACCCCCAGUUUGCUCGUAGUAAAGCUCAAGGAAGAGAGAAUGAAGGAGAGAAGGAGGUCAUUGUUAGGAACGACUGCUGCAGUGCUCGUACUUGUUCUGGUAUUGAUGAUCUGCGUGAGCUCUUCUUCACAGUACUCUGUGUGUCAUGGAAAUAAGAGAAGUGGUAGUGGAAGAGGUAGAACAGCGAGGAAGCUGGUUUCUGGGGCAAUUCUAGCUCAGCAGCAGCGGCAGGACAUGAGGUUUGAUGGCACGAUGAAACCCCUCAACCAGGCAGGUGUGAGCUUCAGGAAGAUACCGCCUUCUAGCUCGAAUCCCACCCAGAACAAGUAAAGCCAGUGUUCACCAUCAUAUCAUGCCACUGUCUCUCUCUCUCUCUCUCUCUCUUUUCUUGGCUUCAAUCUGUUUACGUUUCUAAGUGGAGUUGAUAUUUGUGUUAUAGGUCACGUCCUCGAGUGGAUGGCCCGGGGAACCCGUGAACCGCAUCAGGGAUUGGUGGCUUGCCAUGACAGAGAGAGAGAGGAGGAGUGUAGAGUAGUUCUGUAGUUCUCUUUUGUUUGCUUUUAAUCUUCUGUUCUUGUUUCUUUGCACCUUCUGAGCUUGUAACCUUUUCGCUGCUUUUCCACAAGUUCACUUUACAGAGAGACGAGCGUGGAAAAUGGCUCGCACCUCUUUUCCAGCUUGUCUCGCUAGUUUUGUAGCUGUAGCACGAACAAGCUUCCAUGUACCUAAGAAAGAAGUGAAGGCUUUUGUUCCAUUAUAUUGUUCUGGUUUUCUUGCCG
rnacentral:lncRNA from 1 species